UACAGAGGGGGCAAGCGUUGUUCGGAAUUACUGGGCGUAAAGGGCGCGUAGGCGGCCUUCUAAGUCGAACGUGAAAUCCCCGGGCUCAACCCGGGAACUGCGUCCGAUACUGGAAGACUUGAAUCCGGGAGAGGGAUGCGGAAUUCCAGGUGUAGCGGUGAAAUGCGUAGAUAUCUGGAGGAACACCGGUGGCGAAGGCGGCAUCCUGGACCGGCAUUGACGCUGAGGCGCGAAAGCCAGGGGAGCGAACGGG
rnacentral:rRNA from 1 species